rnacentral:rRNA from 1 species
UACGAAGGGGGCUAGCGUUGCUCGGAAUCACUGGGCGUAAAGGGUGCGUAGGCGGGUCUUUAAGUCAGGGGUGAAAUCCUGGAGCUCAACUCCAGAACUGCCUUUGAUACUGAGGAUCUUGAGUUCGGGAGAGGUGAGUGGAACUGCGAGUGUAGAGGUGAAAUUCGUAGAUAUUCGCAAGAACACCAGUGGCGAAGGCGGCUCACUGGCCCGAGUACUGACGCUGAGGCACGAAAGCGUGGGGAGCAAACAGGGAU